rnacentral:lncRNA from 1 species
UCCUCUUAGGAUCUCUUCAGUUCUAUUUACAUAGAUGUGGAAGCAUGGAUCUAUCAUGGUUUGGGAUUGAAAAACAAAGAAUUUUCAUAAUCUCCUUCCUAUCUGAAAAUCGAGGGAUUCAUAUAACCUCUUUAUCUAGAUGUUAUGAUCUCUUUCUUUGUUUGGAUGCUGUGAUUUUCUUCUUUAUUUGGAUCUCACCAAGAAUUUAAAUUUUGAAAUAUAGAUGAGGA